UACGGAGGGAGCUAGCGUUGUUCGGAAUUACUGGGCGUAAAGCGCACGUAGGCGGCUUUGCAAGUUAGAGGUGAAAGCCCGGGGCUCAACUCCGGAAUUGCCUUUAAAACUGCAUCGCUAAAAUUGUGGAGAGGUAAGUGGAAUUCCGAGUGUAGAGGUGAAAUUCGUAGAUAUUCGGAAGAACACCAGUGGCGAAGGCGACUUACUGGACACAUAUUGACGCUGAGGUGCGAAAGCGUGGGGAGCAAACAGG
rnacentral:rRNA from 1 species